GGUUUUAUAGUCAAUGAUGACAUUAGAUUGCAAUUCUAAAGGAAUAAUUUAAAAGAUUAUUAAGACUU
rnacentral:tRNA from 1 species